UACGUAGGGGGCAAGCGUUGUCCGGAUUUAUUGGGCGUAAAGAGCGUGUAGGCGGCCAUACAGGUCCGUUGUGAAAACUGGAGGCUUAACCUCCAGACGUCGAUGGAAACCAUUUGGCUAGAGUCCGGAAGAGGAAAGUGGAAUUCCUGGUGUAGCGGUGAAAUGCGCAGAUAUCAGGAAGAACACCAAUGGCGAAAGCAGCUUUCUGGGACGGUACUGACGCUGAGACGCGAAAGCGUGGGGAGCGAACAGG
rnacentral:rRNA from 1 species